rnacentral:rRNA from 1 species
UUUAUUUUACCUUGUUGCUUCGGCGGGCCCGCCUUAACUGGCCGCCGGGGGGCUUACGCCCCCGGGCCCGCGCCCGCCGAAGACACCCUCGAACUCUGUCUGAAGAUUGUAGUCUGAGUGAAAAUAUAAAUUAUUUAAAACUUUCAACAACGGAUCUCUUGGUUCCGGCAUCGAUGAAGAACGCAGCGAAAUGCGAUACGUAAUGUGAAUUGCAAAUUCAGUGAAUCAUCGAGUCUUUGAACGCACAUUGCGCCCCCUGGUAUUCCGGGGGGCAUGCCUGUCCGAGCGUCAUUGCUGCCCUCAAGCACGGCUUGUGUGUUGGGCCCCGUCCUCCGAUCCCGGGGGACGGGCCCGAAAGGCAGCGGCGGCACCGCGUCCGGUCCUCGAGCGUAUGGGGCUUUGUCACCCGCUCUGUAGGCCCGGCCGGCGCUUGCCGAUCAACCCGAAUUUUUAUCCAGGUUGACCUCGGAUCAGGUAGGGAUACCCGCUGAACUUAAGCAUAUCAAUA